GACGAACGCUGGCGGCGUGCUUAACACAUGCAAGUCGAACGGAAAGGCCCUGCUUUUGUGGGGUGCUCGAGUGGCGAACGGGUGAGUAACACGUGAGUAACCUGCCCUUGACUUUGGGAUAACUUCAGGAAACUGGGGCUAAUACCGGAUAGGAGCUCCUGCUGCAUGGUGGGUGUUGGAAAGUUACGGCGGUUGGGGAUGGACUCGCGGCUUAUCAGCUUGUUGGUGGGGUAGUGGCUUACCAAGGCUUUGACGGGUAGCCGGCCUGAGAGGGUGACCGGCCACAUUGGGACUGAGAUACGGCCCAGACUCCUACGGGAGGCAGCAGUGGGGAAUAUUGCACAAUGGGCGGAAGCCUGAUGCAGCAACGCCGCGUGCGGGAUGACGGCCUUCGGGUUGUAAACCGCUUUCGCCUGUGACGAAGCGUGAGUGACGGUAAUGGGUAAAGAAGCACCGGCUAACUACGUG
rnacentral:rRNA from 1 species